UAUUAGUAGACCCCCAAAAAUCUAUUAAAAAAUAUUGAACUUUCUUGCAGUCUCAAUCUCCUAUGAAUUCUCCCGCAUGAUUUCAAUGGAUUCGAUUCAAUCCGAUCCAGAGACACAGAAAAAGACCAAUCCAUGGAUCGCUCGACCUCCUCCGGCAACGACAAGCUUUUCGUCGAGCAUUGUAAGGGCAUCAACGGCCUCAAGAGAGUCAUUUUUAAGGGAGGUCCGUGGCUCAUCUACUGAGGGAGCAAAAUCUAAAAUGACAAUUCGUGAUUCUUCUGCUUUGAUGAUGGAGAACGCAAGGAGUUGCUUGCACUUGUGCAUCCUAAAUUUUGUGGAAAAUUUUCUUUUCAUUUUGUGGUUUAAAAUUUGGGAGAGGCACGUUGGUUGUGAUGAACCAUUGAUUGACAAGCUGUCAUUUGAUUCUCAGUGUUUGAAAUUGUGUGGUGGUAAGGCAUCAGAAGGGGUAUCUGUUGGUGCCUUGUUGUCUAUGUCUUCAACUGCAGCGGCAAUAUUUUGCCAAGUACUUGUCUAGCUGGAGUAUACUUGAUGCUGGGACCGGCAAUGGUCUGCUCCUUCAAGAACUUGCCAGGAAGGGGCACACUCUGAGAUUUUUGCCUAUAGUUCUGGGUUUAUCGGCAAUGAACAGCCAGUUUAAAUGCGGUCAUGGAUGCUGGAAUUUCCAUUACAUCACACAGUCGUCUCUAAUUACAAUUUGCCUUCAGAUGGAGAUAAAUUACAGGUAGCCUAUGCAUUAGAGAAAGCAACUUUGAGUCUUAUCUUAGACUCUACAUUAAACAUUGGUUUAAGAGAUAGAGUUCAUUCUCUUUUCAGAAACAUGUCUCCUCAAAAUGCUUUUAGAGUGAUUGAAAUGGAGCUUGGAUUGAUAUAUGAUCGUCCUUAUACCAAGGCAACUUUACUCUAUGGACGUUACAUCUUCAUCCUGCGCCUCAUCACUUUUCUUCUCACCUGUUUUGUCUUCCUUUUUCUUACUUUUCUUCAUAGCAAAGACAAGUAUUCAAAGAUUGACAUUUGCAUAACAUUCCUUUUACUAGUCGUAGGUAUUUUUCUAGACAUAUAUUCAGCAUUACUCAUACUCUCCUCAGACAGAUUUUACGCUAGGUUAAAUUUUGAUAAAAAGGUCUCCACCUCAAAAUUCCGAAUUUGUUCUCAACCAUCGAAGGGUCCUAGGUGGUCAAAUAAAAUGUGUCAGAUGAGCUUUCUGAGCUGCUUCUUGAAGCUCCCGUGGUUGCGUUCCAAAUUGAUCUGUGAAGGAUUAGAUGAACUGCUAGAUGAGAUGCUAGAAAAGCUAUGGUUGCUCGGUCCACCUGAAGAAAUCUCCAAAGACUUUCAAAAAUCAGUCUUCUAGUAUUUCAAAGAAAAAACUGCCACAAGCCGAAGAGAAAACAAUAGUUUACAAAGAACAGAACGCGGUGAUGAUUGGAUGGUCAGUGAAGCUCCCAAGUUUGAGCAAGACCCAACAAAAGCCAUUUUAUUCUGGCACAUUGUUACAGAAGUUUCCUUCUAUUUGGAUCGAGAUGGAGAGGAUACUAAGAAGCAGUUUGCUGAAAUUGUUGCAAGUUCUGAAAUUAGCAGACGGAUCUCUAAAUACAUGUUCUAUCUCUUAGUUAAGCAUCCUUCCAUGGUAUCCGUUGGCAUAACUCAGGUUAACCUUCAAAGGACAGCUAACGCCACUUACAGGUGGUCAUUUUACAAUUCAACUGAAAAAGUAUGCAAAAGGUUGUUGGAAAGAAAAAUUAGAGGAGAUCAAACUUUAGUUGAUGCGAUUUCGUGUAUCAAAAGAGUGAAGCAAGAGAAAAAGGUAUGUUGAUGCAGUUGCAUGGACACUAGCAUGGGUGGUUACUUCGUAACAUGGGCAGUCACGUGGUUGACCAAGUCUUUACUGUUUUAUUGUCAAUUAAAUAAUAGCCCACUUUCCCCUGUUUAUGUGAACAAAUUGUGGAACAUGGGUCCUUGAUUUGUGUUUAUUUGUUAUUAGUUGUUGAUGCACGUUUGUUAGUUGCUUAAAAUUCUCAUUUUCGCUUUCGUAUUAGAUG